rnacentral:rRNA from 1 species
CCCACGGGGCAUGCCUCAGUACGGCGAGUGAGCGGCAAAAGCUCAAAUUUUAAAGCUGGCAUCUUCGGUGUCCGCGUUGUAAUUUUGUGAGGCAUCUCCGGGUAGGGCGCCGGCCUAAGUUCCUUGGAACAGGACGUCACAGAGGGUGAGAAUCCCGUGCUUGGCUGGCUGUCCCCGUCCAUGUGAGGUGUCUUCGACGAGUCGAGUUGUUUGGGAAUGCAGCUCAAAAUGGGUGGUAAAUUUCAUCUAAAGCUAAAUAUUGGUGGGAGACCGAUAGCGCACAAGUAGAGUGAUCGAAAGAUGAAAAGCACUUUGAAAAUAGAGUUAAAAAGUACGUGAAAUUGUUGAAAGGGAAGCGCUUGAGAUCAGACUUCGGUAGGGGGUGAUCAGCCGUCCUUCUGGGCGGUGCACUUGCCCCUCUCCGGGCCAGCAUCGGUUGAGGCGGCGGGAUAAAGGUCCCGGGAAUGUGGCUCCUUCGCGGGAGUGUUAUAGCCCGGGUGAAUGCCGCCAGUCUCGACCGAGGACCGCACCCGCAAGGGUUAGGAUGCUUGGCAUAAUGGUCUUCAGCGACCCGUCUUGAACCACGGGACCA